GGUUGUUUUCCCACCCCUAUUUGAGGGAUAAGACUCUGGGAGGAUUGAAAUGGAGAAUCAAAGCAUCAUUUUAUCUGGACUCCAAAAACAGAAAUUUGAAAAUAAAAGACCAAGAUUUUAAAAAUAGAUAAAUGAAAGGACAACGAUGUCAUUUCUAAUUCUUUAGCUUGAAGAGAAGACAGUAUUUGCUGCCCUGAAUAAGA
rnacentral:lncRNA from 1 species